UAAGGAAUAUUGGGCAAUGGACGCAAGUCUGACCCAGCCAUGCCGCGUGAAGGAAGACGGCCCUAUGGGUUGUAAACUUCUUUUCUCAGGGGGUAAACUUCGGAACGUGUUCCGGACUGAAAGUACCUGAGGAAUAAGCAUCGGCUAACUCCGUGCCAGCAGCCGCGGUAAUACGGAGGAUGCGAGCGUUAUCCGGAUUCAUUGGGUUUAAAGGGUGCGCAGGCGGAUAUAUAAGUCGGAGGUGAAAUUCUGAUGCUCAACAUCAGCCGUGCCUUCGAUACUGUAUAUCUAGAGUCAAGUUGGAGUAGGCGGAAUGUGUUGUGUAGCGGUGAAAUGCUUAGAUAUAACACAGAACACCGAUCGCGAAGGCAGCUUACUAAACUUUGACUGACGCUCAUGCACGAAAGCGUGGGGAUCAAACAG
rnacentral:rRNA from 1 species